UACGGAGGGUGCAAGCAUUGAUCGGAAUGACUGGGCGUAAAGGGCGCGUAGGCGGCUUUUUAAGUCAGAUGUGAAAUUCCGGGGCUCAACCCCGGAGCUGCAUUUGAGACUGAAGAGCUAGUGGCUAGUAAGGGAAAACAGAAUUCCACGUGUAGCGGUGAAAUGCGUAGAUAUGUGGAAGAAUACCGGUGGUGAAGACGGUUUUCUGUGCUAAGCCAGACGCUGAGGCGCGAAAGCUAGGGGAGCAAACAGG
rnacentral:rRNA from 1 species